ACGGUUCCAGUUUAUGAAAUGAAGAAUGAUUUGCAAGAUCAUAUAGUAUUAGAAUAGUUUGAUGUAGACUUACAAUAUAACUCCUAAUGUACAAAAAAUGUUUACUUGACACCUACAUAUCUGCGGAAUAAUCCAUCUUAGGCUAGUGUGAUCAAGGAGACGCGAAAAGGAUGACAACGAGGCUAGCGAGUUUGCCACCAUCAAUCCUUGACCUUGCAACCCUGCAUUGCAUAGGUGUAUUUGGAGGCUCUUCACUAUCUACACUUCCCGAAUCGAAUUGUUUAGA
rnacentral:misc_RNA from 1 species